rnacentral:tRNA from 2 species
UCGGCCAGCAGCAGGUCGGGGAAGCCGUCGCCGUCGAGGUCGGCGAAGCGCAGGUUCGGGUCCUGCCAGUCGAUC